UACGUAGGGCGCAAGCGUUAUCCGGAAUUACUGGGCGUAAAGGGCUCGUAGGUGGUCGACUAAGUCGGACGUGAAAUCCCUCGGCUUAACCGGGGAACUGCGUCCGAUACUGGAUGACUUGAGUUCGGGAGAGGGAUGCGGAAUUCCAGGUGUAGCGGUGAAAUGCGUAGAUAUCAGGAAGAACACCCGUGGCGAAAGCGGCUCUCUGGAACGGUACUGACGCUGAGACGCGAAAGCGUGGGGAGCGAACAGG
rnacentral:rRNA from 1 species